AUUGAACGCUGGCGGCAUGCCUUACACAUGCAAGUCGAACGGAAACAGGUCUUCGGAUGCUGACUAGUGGCGCACGGGUGAGUAAUACAUCGGCACGUGUCCGAUCGUGGGGGAUAUCGCAUCGAAAGCUGUGCUAAUACCGCAUACGAUCUACGGUAGAAAGCGGGGGAUCGCAAGAGCUCGCGCGGACGGAGCUGCCGCUGGCAGAUUAGCUAGUUGGUGGGUUAAAAGCUUACCAAGCCGACGAUCUGUAGCUGGUCUGAGAGGACGACCAGCCACACUGGAACUGAGACACGGCCCAGACUCCUACGGGAGGCAGCAGUGGGGAAUUUUGGACAAUGGGCGCAAGCCUGAUCCAGCCAUGCCGCGUGCAGGAUGAAGGUCUUCGGGUUGUAAAAUGCUUUUGUUCGGAACGAAAAAGCUCUCUCUAAUACAGGGGGUGAAUGAUGGUACCGAAAGAAUAAGCACCGGCUAACUACGUG
rnacentral:rRNA from 1 species